CAGAUGGAAGUCCAAAUGGUUGGAUGUAUACUUUGGGAGUAUAAGGCUGCAGGUUCGAAUCCUGUUCAUCUGA
rnacentral:tRNA from 1 species